GUUCAGCUGAGCAUGGCCAGGGCAGGAAGACUGAGAGUUCACCAUUUUCUGUACCGAGAAGCCCUGCUGCCUCCUCAGGAACUCCAUUCCUAUCCUGUCCUCCUUCCUGGCUCGUUCCCAGCAUCCUCAAGGUCUUGUCAGCGCCCUCGUAGGGUGGUCAGGUCCCAUCAGGGUUGUCUGAGCAUGUGUGUGCAGGUAUGUGUAGGUGUGUAUGUGGGUGUGUGAGUGGGUGGAGGCUUGCGUGUUUCAUGGUUUCAGAAGUGUUGAGAAAGAAGAAAAGAAGACCUCUGUCUUUUCUUCUGACAUCACAAAGGGCAAGAAACUAAGAAAUGCCUCAGGCUCCUGCAGAGAAGAAGGGAUGGGCAGUAACAGCUUGGGGCAGGUGAGGAAGGAUGGUGGAGUGUUUGGUGUUGAGUGAGGUGGCCCAAAGGGAGUCUGUGCAUCCUCAAGACCUGGGAGGAGACAGGCUCCAUCUGUGGUGGGUGGAUCCACAAAGCUUAUCUGCCAAAAUCACUUGAAGAGCUUAACGCAGCCCACUUGGGCAUCAACCCAGUAGCACCCAAUACAAACACACAGAAUCUACACCAGCACUGCGGGGAAGGGUGAGAGUGGCAGAGGAGGAGAUCCACACUAGGUGGAGAAGGCGCAGGACCAGGCUCCCCGUACCCCCAACAUGGCCUUCUCCCUCCUCAUCGGCCAUAUCCCUGGGAAGACGAGAGGGGUGGAUGGGCCUUAUCCUGGCCCACAUCUCCUUUCUCAAGACCUGGGGUAGGAUGGCAAUUCAUGGAUGGAGGAAUAACAAGACCUGGUGAGAUCAGCUUGGCCUGGCUCCCAGCUGGGCAGGAACACAGGACUCCAGGGCAUGGAAGACCCCACCCCAGCCCAUGGCCAGCAUCCACCUGUGCCAGCACCUGCCUGUCCAGAGCUGACCAGGAAAAUGGUGCUGGCCUGGGAGCUGCUCCUCAUGGCCCUGCUGGCCCUGUGCUGGGGACUUAGCCUGGCAGGGGCAGAAGCAUCCGAUCCACCAAAGAAUGCCGCUAACCUUAUCUCAAGCAGAACGCAAAUUCACCCACAACAGCCCCACUGCCCUGGUGCACACCACUUCCUGUCCCCUGGAUAUUCCAGAAGCUUCCUAACAGGGUUCCCUGCUUGCAACAUUGCCACAUUCCCACCUCAGUCUGUUCACAACCGAGGACCCUCAGGAAUCCUUUCAAAGCAUUCAUCAAAAUCUGCAACGCCUUUGCUCAUGACUGUUUCCCACUCACUAGCAGUGAGAUCCAAUCCCGAUCCAAGACCCGGAGGCUUCUUCAGUGAGCGAUAUUGUCCAAGAAACAACUUCCCACUAAAAUGAUCAAGAGAAUGAGAAGUCAAGACAAAGAGUGGGAGAACAUGUUUGCAAAAGACAUAACUUUCGGAUAAAGGACUGUUACCCAAAUUAUUCAAAGAAUUCUUAAAACUCAACAAUAAGGGCCGGGUGUGGUGGCUCAUGCCUGUAAUCCCAGCACUUUGGGAGGCUGAGAUAGGAGGAUCACCUGAGUCGAGACCCUAUCUCUACAACAAAAUUAAAAAAAAAAAAACAAUGAGAAAAUGAACAACCCAAUUAAAGACCAGAGUAGACACUUCAUCAAAGAAGACAUACAGAUGUGAAAAGAGCGUAUGAAAAGGUGCUCAGCAUCAUGCAUCAUUAGGGAAUUGCAAAUUAAAACGACAAAAAGAUACCGCUACACACCGGUUAGAAUGGCCAAAAUCCAGAACACGGACAGCACCAAAUGCUGGUCAGGGUGUGGAGCAGCAAGAACUCUCAUUCAUUGCUGAUGGGGAUGCAAAAUGGUACAGCCACCUUGGAAGACAAUUUUGCAGUUUCUUAUAAAAGUAAACAUACUCUAACCAUAUGAUCAGCAAUUGUACUCCUUGGUAUUUACUCCCAUGAGUUGAAAACAUAUCCACAUAAAAACCUGCACAUAGAUGCUUAUAGCAACCUUAACCGACAAAACUUGGAAGCAAAAAAGAUGUCCUUCAGUAGGAGAAUGGAUAAAUAAAUUAUGAUACACCCAGACAAUGGAAUACUAUGUAGCACUGAAAAGAAAUGAGCUAUCAGCCAUGAAAGGACACGGAGGAAACUUAGCUGGAUAUUACUAAAUGAAAACAGUGACUCUGAAUAGGCUACAUACUGUAUGAUUUCAACUGCAUGACAUUCUGGAAAAGGCAAAACUAUGGAGAGAGAAAAAGGAUCAGUGGUUGCCAGAGGGUAGAGUGAGGGAGGGAAGAAAAAGUGGAGCACAGAGGGUUUUUAGGGCAGUGAAACUAUUCUGUGCCAUGUUAUAAUGCUGGAUACCUGUCAAGAUGUAUUCAUGUAAACUAUAGCCCUUGAGUGAUAAUUAUGUAUCAACAUAGGUUUAUCAGUUGUAACAAAUGUACCACUGUUGCCAUGGAUUGAAUGUUUAUAUCCCUUCAAAUUAGUGCGUUGAAAUCCUUUUUGCUUUUUUUUUUAGUUUCUUUUUUUCUAAGUUCAUGUCAGAUAGGUAAUAUGCCCACAUGGUAGCUGACAGAGCAGAAGCAUCACCAUCUUGGACAAGCACUGCCAUUCUAAAGUUCCCCUUGAUCAAAAAUUGCCUAAAUCCAAAGGUCAUCAGCCUAAUGACUAAGGUCAGCAUGACCAUAAGCCACAAAUGACAUCUCCGACCAGAAACAUUUCAACCAUAAGAUAAAUCCCUCCCUGACCAGAGACAAGCCAGCCCGGAGAUAACUUCCCCCCCGGCAGAGAGAUGUCAGCCCCAACAUAACCUCCCCUUCUGCCAGAGACAUUCCAACCCCACCAUAAACUUCUCCCCCACACAGAAACAUUCCAAGCCUGUGAUAAAGCUCUCUCACUCUAAAACCAAUAUAUACUCUUGUUGUUUAUGAGCCACCGGUCUAUGUUAUUUUGGUUAUAGCAGCCCAAUGGGCUAAGACGAUUGUAGUGCAGGCUGUUGAUAGUUGCAAUAGAGAAUCCUCCUGACUGAAAUUGGCCAGAAGCCCCUUUCAGGUUUAUUCUCCAAAAUAAACCUGUUUUUGACUGUUGAGCCCCUUUUCUGGCUUCUUUCCUCUUUCUUUAACUCUUACAGUAACAAGGUUUGAAGGUGGCACAUCUCACACAUGCAUAGGAACACCCAAUCAUCACGUCUAUGAAUUACAAAAUAAUCUGUGUUGAAAUCCUACCCCACAAGGUGAUGGAUUAGGAGAUGGGCCUUUUGGAGGUGAUUAGUUCAUGAGGGCAGAGGCCUUAGGAAUGAGAUCAGUGCUUUUAUAAAAGAGACCUGAGAGACUCCCUCGCCCCUUCGGCCAUAUGAGGUUACAGUGAGAAAGCCUCACCUAUGAGGAAGCAGGCCCUAACCAGACACCAAAUCUGCCAGCAUGUUGAUCUUGAACUUCCCAGC